GCUGAACCAGGAGUCAGGAGGCCUGGAUGAGCCACAUACUUGCUGGGCCUCCACUUCUCCACCUGUAAAGUGAAGGAGUUUAACAAGAUGGUGCCCAAGGCUCCUUCUGACCUUAUGACCACUGAGUGUUUUGCCAGGGGGAUCCAUUUUUCGCAGAUACUGAUGACAUGUAGCAGACUUUAUACCUUGGGGAGGCAGAGUAACUUGAUGUGUAACAUACAAUAACCACUUUUGAGAUUUGGUACUCCUGUGUUGCUGAGAAUGAAUAUCUAAAUGAUUGAAGUUUUAAGGCCAAGGAGAAGUUGUUUAGUUUUGCCUUGUUUUAAAAUCACUGUUAGUCGCAGAGUUUGCAAUCUCUGGAUACCUUCACAUCCUAGUUCUCAGUGUGGAAUUCUUAAUCUCAAGGUGUUUCCUUUCCUCGAUCAGCAUAGGACUGCACCCCCGACUCCUUCAGUCAGCUUUGCCCAAAAUAAAUUUUGGUAUUAACCAAAGUCAAAUGGGAUUAGAAGGAUAAUUCAACAGCAAAAGAACUGUAAAUUGUAUUCCCUACCCAGAGAGAAAAUACCUUGUGGAUUGUGUAGUCCUCUGGUGAGUGUUCUCUCUUCCUGCUGGCGACCAGAUCAAUCAGGAAUUGGUUACAGACAUGUGCUGUGGCCACAGCGGCCCUUAUAGGAUUCUGUGUAGAUGAUGAGGGGCCCAGGAGGCCCAUCUGAAAUGUGUGGACCUGACCCCGAGGAGGUUCUGCUACAAACCCCCUGAGCCUAGGAGGUUCUCUACUUACCAAAGGUUUGUUUCUGGAGGAUUUUCCUGUGGCUUUGGUAAUUAAAAAAAAAAACAAAAGCUUUCAUUGGCA